GUGCCAGCCGCCGCGGUAAUACGGAAGGUCCGGGCGUUAUCCGGAUUUAUUGGGUUUAAAGGGAGCGCAGGCUGCCGCUUAAGCGUGACGUGAAAUGUAGGCGCUCAACGUCUGAGUUGCGUCGCGAACUGGGCGGCUUGAGUAUGUUCGACGCCGGCGGAAUUCGUGGUGUAGCGGUGAAAUGCUUAGAUAUCACGAAGAACUCCGAUUGCGAAGGCAGCCGGCGAGGCCAUUACUGACGCUAAAGCUCGAAGGUGCGGGUAUCGAACAGGAUUAGAUACCCUGGUAGUCCGCACGGUAAACGAUGGAUGCCCGCUGUUGGCGAUACAGUGUCAGCGGCCAAGCGAAAGCGUUAAGCAUCCCACCUGGGGAGUACGCCGGCAACGGUGAAACUCAAAGGAAUUGACGGGGGCCCGCACAAGCGGAGGAACAUGUGGUUUAAUUCGAUGAUACGCGAGGAACCUUACCCGGGCUUGAACUGCAGCAGAACGAAUCAGAGAUGAUGAGGCCCUUCGGGGCUGCUGUGGAGGUGCUGCAUGGUUGUCGUCAGCUCGUGCCGUGAGGUGUCGGCUUAAGUGCCAUAACGAGCGCAACCCCUCUCGCCAGUUGCCAUCAGUCCGGCUGGGCACUCUGGGGACACUGCCACCGUAAGGUGUGAGGAAGGUGGGGAUGACGUCAAAUCAGCACGGCCCUUACGUCCGGGGCUACACACGUGUUACAAUGGGUGAUACAGAGAGUCAGCGCCGGCAACGUCGCCUCAAUCAAGAAAGUCAUCCUCAGUUCGGAUUGGGUCUGCAACCCGACCCCAUGAAAGCUGGAUUCGCUAGUAAUCGCGCAUCAGCCAUGGCGCGGUGAAUACGUUCCCGGGCCUUGUACACACCGCCCGU
rnacentral:rRNA from 1 species